AGAGGAUUGAUGACAAUAAAAGCCCCAUUGCAGUAUCUCCAUCAGCAGUUUUCUCUCUGCGUGGGUGCAUGGUAACACCCGCCCCCCCACGAAGCAAACCACUGGUCUGAUGUCAGU
ensembl:snoRNA